rnacentral:rRNA from 1 species
CGAACCUUCGGGCUUAGCGGCGGACGGGUGAGUAACGCGUGGGAACGUACCCAUUCCUGCGGAAUAGGCCCUGGAAACGGGGUUUAAUACCGCAUACGCCCUUCGGGGGAAAGAAUUUCGGGGAUGGAUCGGCCCGCGUUGGAUUAGGUAGUUGGUGGGGUAAUGGCCUACCAAGCCGACGAUCCAUAGCUGGUUUUAGAGGAUGAUCAGCCACACUGGGACUGAGACACGGCCCAACUCCUACGGGAGGCAGCAGUGGGGAAUCUUAACAAUGGGGGCAACCCUGAUCUAGCCAUGCCGCGUGUGUGAUGAAGGUCUUAGGAUCGUAAAGCACUUUCGCCGGGGAAGAUAAUGACGGUACCCGGCAAAG